UACCUGGUUGAUUCUGCCAGUAGUCAUAUGCUUGUCUCAAAGAUUAAGCCAUGCAUGUCUAAGUAUAAGCAAUUAUACCGCGAAACUGCGAAUGGCUCAUUAAAUCAGUUAUCGUCUAUUUGAUAGUACCUUACUACUUGGAUAACCGUGGUAAUUCUAGAGCUAAUACAUGCUGAAAACCCCGACUUCGGAAGGGAUGUAUUUAUUAGAUUAAAAACCAAUGCCCUUCGGGGCUCCCUGGUGAUUCAUAAUAACUGCUCGAAUCGCACGGCCUUGCGCCGGCGAUGGUUCAUUCAAAUUUCUGCCCUAUCAACUUUCGACGGCUGGGUCUUGGCCAGCCAUGGUGACAACGGGUAACGGAGGGUUAGGGCUCGACCCCGGAGAAGGAGCCUGAGAAACGGCUACUACAUCCAAGGAAGGCAGCAGGCGCGCAAAUUACCCAAUCCCGACGCGGGGAGGUAGUGACAAUAAAUACUGAUACAGGGCUCUUUUGGGUCUUGUAAUUGGAAUGAGUACAAUUUAAUUCCCUUAACGAGGAACAAUUGGAGGGCAAGUCUGGUGCCAGCAGCCGCGGUAAUUCCAGCUCCAAUAGCGUAUAUUAAAGUUGUUGCAGUUAAAAAGCUCGUAGUUGAACCUUGGGCCUGGCUGGCCGGUCCGCCUCACCGCGUGCACUGGUCCGGCCGGGCCUUUCCCUCUGGGGAGCCGCAUGCCCUUCACUGGGCGUGCCGGGGAACCAGGACGUUUACUUUGAAAAAAUUAGAGUGUUCAAAGCAGGCUUAUGCUCGGAUACAUUAGCAUGGAAUAAUAGAAUAGGACGCGCGGUUCUAUUUUGUUGGUUUCUAGGACCGCCGUAAUGAUUAAUAGGGACAGUCGGGGGCAUCAGUAUUCAAUUGUCAGAGGUGAAAUUCUUGGAUCUAUUGAAGACUAACUACUGCGAAAGCAUUUGCCAAGGAUGUUUUCAUUAAUCAGGAACGAAAGUUAGGGGAUCGAAGACGAUCAGAUACCGUCGUAGUCUUAACCAUAAACUAUGCCGACUAGGGAUCGGACGGUGUUAUUUUUUGACCCGUUCGGCACCUUACACGAAAGUACAAGUUUCUGGGUUCUGGGGGGAGUAUGGUCGCAAGGCUGAAACUUAAAGAAAUUGACGGAAGGGCACCACCAGGGGUAAACACUUGAUUGUUUCGCCGCAGUUAACUCUGCCCCGGAAAGCCGCCCGAAAGGGUCGGUGGUGCCCCGCUGGCUAGUCGACGCCCCCCGGGCGGGGGGCGGCGGCGACAUCCUCAAAGUGCGGGGAACCCCUAAAGCUCCUGCUCCAAAGCCGGCCCGCGAAAGCAGCCGGUGGCCAGGCGAAAGGCCUCGGGUACUGGAACAACGCAGGAGAUGCUACAAUGGGCAAUCCGCAGCCAAGCCCCUACGUGCGCCGUUCUGGCCGCAUACGGGGAAGGUUCAGAGACUUGACGGGGAUGGGUGGGUCGCCUGGCGGGGGUGUUCAGCCCUGCGUCCAGGCGGUCGUGCUUAAGGUAAAGUCCGGCCCCGCGGGAGACCGCGGGGGUGUCCUAACAGGCCUUCCAACGGGAGCCUGCGGCUUAAUUUGACUCAACACGGGGAAACUCACCAGGUUAACUUCGCGGUUACGCGUCUGGGCCUGGAAUAGUGAGCGGUCCGCCCGGCGGCGGGCCGUCUUGCUAGUGCCGACUUUGCCUACGUGGGGGGAGCCCCCCGACUCAGGGCGUAGGAGGCAGCCCCGGCAGGGGCUGCUGUGUCGGCGCGACACCAGCUGGUACAGGGGACGCCUAGCCGGGCCCGCGAGGACCCGGCGGCCAAUCCUGUGGCGAGUCCAGGUAGCGCUGGACCGUCGCAACGCACGCUAAGCGGUGGGCUGACGCGAGUCGGCUUAAGGUACGUGCUCAUCCCGCGGGGAACCGUGGCCGUCCUGACUAGUUCCGAGUUUUACGAAGCAGGGCGGGGGCCCGCCGGCUGGGGCGGCGGGCCUGUUGGUGGUGGCUGUUGCUCCGGGGGCUUCGCGUCAGCGGUUGUUCGUGCCCCGACCGGCGCACGGGGGGACGCUGACGCGGGGUUGUCGGGCUGCGGGCGCCACACGAUAGUGCCAGACACGAUGAGGAUUGACAGAUUGAGAGCUCUUUCUUGAUUUCGUGGGUGGUGGUGCAUGGCCGUUCUUAGUUGGUGGAGUGAUUUGUCUGCCUAAUCGCGAUAACGAACGAGACCUUAACCUGCUAAAUAGCCCGCGUUGCUCUGGCAGCGCGCCGGCUUCUUAGAGGGACUAUCGGCUCAAGCCGAUGGAAGUUUGAGGCAAUAACAGGUUAACCUUCACAGGCCUGUAACAGUGGUCCUCGCUAAAGAAACAACCGCUAGUCCAGCUGUCCUAGUCUCCUCGGGGAAGCACCCCGCUAUCGGGAGGAGAGGGGCCCGCCGUCGUACGGGCCCCGGACGCGGGCGACACCACCUGGUACAGGGAACGCCUACCCGCCCUUCGGGGCGGCGGCCGAUCCUGUGGCGAGCUCGGGCAGCGCCGAGCCGUCGCAACGUGCGGAAAGGGGUGGGCUGGCACACGCCGGCUUAAGGUACGUACUAAUCCCUGGGGAAACCCAGCUCCUGCAAUAAGGUCCGAUAAACCGAGGUGCAGGGGGGCCGGCAGCGCUGCCGGCUGGCUCCCUCUAUGGCGGUCCCCGCGCUGGGCGUCCGCCGGGGGAGAGAAUGCUGUGAUGCCCUUAGAUGUUCUGGGCCGCACGCGCGUUACACUGACAGAGCCAGCGAGUUCUUCCUUGGCCGAAAGGCCCGGGUAAUCUUGUGAAACUCUGUCGUGCUGGGGAUAGAGCAUUGCAAUUAUUGCUCUUCAACGAGGAAUCCCUAGUAAGCGCAAGUCAUCAACUUGCGUUGAUUACGUCCCUGCCCUUUGUACACACCGCCCGUCGCUACUACCGAUUGAAUGGCUCAGUGAGGCUUCCGGACUGGCCCAGGGGGGUGGGCAACUACCCCCCAGGGCCGGAAAGCUAUCCAAACUCGGUCAUUUAGAGGAAGUAAAAGUCGUAACAAGGUCUCCGUUGGUGAACCAGCGGAGGGAUCAUUA
rfam:Sporothrix insectorum RCEF 264 scaffold_6, whole genome shotgun sequence.